CUGCGUUCGGGACGCAGAGGCCGCAGGUUCAAGUCCUGUCACCUCGACCA
rnacentral:tRNA from 1 species